GCACGAAGUUAGCCGGGGCUUAUUCUGCGGGUACCGUCAUCAUCGUCCCCGCCAAAAAAGCUUUACAACCCGAAGGCCUUCAUCACUCACGCGGCAUGGCUGGAUCAGGGUUGCCCCCAUUGUCCAAUAUUCCCCA
rnacentral:rRNA from 1 species